CCCCUCUCAGGGACGCAUCUGGAGAGUUUCCAGUCCUCUACCAGCCACGACUACAGGAGGGAAAGUCAAGCAGGGGCCACUCCAUUCCUAGCUUGGGCAGUGGCUAGCGAAUGGAAGACAAUCUGCUACAAGU